GCACCACAAGAGCGUGGAGUAUGUGGCUUAAUUUGACUCAACGCGGAAAAGCUUAUCUGGUCCGGACACAGUGAGGAUUGACAGACAGUUGGCAGGAGUGGUUCUUGGUAAAAACAAAUGAGAGAGUUGAAGUUCUUUCAUGAUCUUGUGAGAGGUGGUGCAUGGCCGUUCUUAGUUCGUGUAGUGAUAUGUCUGCCUAAUCGCGUCACGAUAACCUAUUGGUCGACAACCCAAUUAUCACAACUGCAGCAUAACUCCCCUUGGGUGGGCGAGGCUCUGUGUAGGAUAGACCUCUGAACAGUACGCAACGAACGCGAUCGUAAUCCCUUGUUGAGUGGCCAUCCUGUAAGCUGCUGGAUUUGAAACCCAGUGGUAUUAUCUCAGCCACAGAUUUUCUGGUUGUAAUGGGCCAGUUUUGAAACUCGGGGAACAUCUGUGACUUUCUUUCUUAACGCAGAGGAAGGUUAUGGC
rnacentral:rRNA from 1 species